GACGAACGCUGGCGGCGUGCUUAACACAUGCAAGUCGAACGGUGAAGCGCCUUCCUUUUUGGUGGGUGUGGAUGAGCGGCGAACGGGUGAGUAACACGUGAGUAACCUGCCCCCUUCUUCUGGAUAACCGCAUGAAAGUGUGGCUAAUACGGGAUAUUCUGGGUCUGUCGCAUGAUGGGUCUGGGAAAGAUAUUGUUUCGGUGGGGGAUGGGCUCGCGGCCUAUCAGCUUGUUGGUGGGGUGAUGGCCCACCAAGGCGGUGACGGGUAGCCGGCCUGAGAGGGUGGACGGUCACACUGGGACUGAGACACGGCCCAGACUCCUACGGGAGGCAGCAGUGGGGAAUAUUGCACAAUGGGCGCAAGCCUGAUGCAGCGACGCCGCGUGAGGGAUGGAGGCCUUCGGGUUGUGAACCUCUUUCGCCGGUGAAGCAGGCCUGCCUCGUUUGUGGGUGGGUUGACGGUAGCUGGAUAAGAAGCGCCGGCUAACUACGUG
rnacentral:rRNA from 1 species